GAUGAACGCUGGCGGCGUGCUUAACACAUGCAAGUCGAACGAUGAAGCCCAGCUUGCUGGGUGGAUUAGUGGCGAACGGGUGAGUAACACGUGAGUAACCUGCCCUUAACUCUGGGAUAAGCCUGGUAAACUGGGUCUAAUACCGGAUAGGAGCUUCCAUCGCAUGGUGGGUGUUGGAAAGAUUUAGCGGUUUUGGAUGGACUCGCGGCCUAUCAGCUUGUUGGUGAGGUAAUGGCUCACCAAGGCGACGACGGGUAGCCGGCCUGAGAGGGUGACCGGCCACACUGGGACUGAGACACGGCCCAGACUCCUACGGGAGGCAGCAGUGGGGAAUAUUGCACAAUGGGCGCAAGCCUGAUGCAGCGACGCCGCGUGAGGGAUGACGGCCUUCGGGUUGUAAACCUCUUUCAGUAGGGAAGAAGCGAAAGUGACGGUACCUGCAGAAGAAGCACCGGCUAACUACGUG
rnacentral:rRNA from 1 species